AAAUUACAAGUCUUGUUGCAAAUGAUCGAUUAUGUAUUAUAAUAACUAAACCCUAUGCAAAUUUUUCAAAGUUCGUUAAAAAUCUCGUAACCAGGGAGUUUUUAAUGUUUGAUUGAAUGAUGCCUCCUGAAAACGCCUAUAUGAUAUCGGCCCUGGCCGCUCGACGUUUGGCUGCUAGCUUCAGCUAUAUGUGCCUCGACAAAAUGAGAGCUUAGAGACUUGACCCUUUAUAAUGGUUAAAGUCGUACACGUUGACAAAAUAUUCUCUAUCUUUAAAGAUUCUUCAUUUCUUUUUUGCAAAAACAUUAUGUCGCAGAUAGAGGAAGCGCGAAGAAAAGCGAGGGAGGGAGAGAGAGAGAGAGAGAGAGAGAGAGAGAGAGAGAGAGAGAGAGAGAGAGAGAGAGAGAGAGAGAGAAACACGAAGAAGAUAAACUCAUCAGGAUGCUUUGCGUGACAAGAUAAGUGUUCCAAUUAAGGCUAAUGAUAUAAGUAAUUAAUAAAUGAAAUUCUAGAUGAAUGGAAUGUAAAAUUGCAUCUGUUCUGCAAACGUCUUUAGUUCUAUUUUGGCAAAAAUUAGACAAUUAAAGUGAAGAUUAAUGUUUCGAGUCGUCCGAUAAUAUAUAGCACUAACGAUAUAUCGCGGCGACAUCCACAGGUCCUUCUAAGUAGAGAAAAGAAUCCCAUCGAGGUCGAAUAAAGCGAAAGAAGAAGGGUCGCGUGGUUUUCGAUCGAGAAGAGAUGGGAAAUUUUGGUGAGAAAAUUGCCCGAUGUCGCGUCACGGCAAACACCAUCCAGAUAUACGAGUUAAUGGCAGGCUAAAUGUUCGCGACCUCGAUCUGCAAACACACGCGCAUGGAAAAGGGAGCGCCUUCAUCGAGGGAGGCGUCAGCUAAUUAUGGUGGACCUUGCGGUCAAAAAUUCCAAGUAACUUAUUUGCGAUCGUGUACGCGAUUUCACGGUAUUGGCGCCGUGGAGCCCGGAAACACGCCAGGAAUAAGGGCGGCAGGCAGACGGGCGAGAGGGAAGAAUAGAUGGACAAAGAGACGGGACCGAUGUCUUGGUACGAUAAGCAUCUCGAGGUGGCGGCGGAAAAUAAGCGGGGAAAAAGGAUCUCCCUGCAGGCACGUACGAUGAUGAUCGGGACGGUAGGCUACUAAAGAAUGCCUGAAGGUCCGAUCGAAAUCGUUGCCUACUGUGUGUUCUCGUUUCCCUCAAAUUACCGCCUUAUGCGCGCGCGUAUUCCCAAUACGUCGUAUUUUCACAAUGUUUGCGCGCGAGAACUAAUGAUAUGAUAAUAAUAUAUUUUUAAUGCUGAAUAAUACAAAAGGCAGGGCAUGCAUUGCGAUAGGGGCGGUAUGUUUUACGGUAAUAUGGUACGGUAUAAUAGAGGUAAUUAAGAGAAAAACAAGAUAAUGAGAUAAAUAAAAUAAGAAACUAAUGAUAUACCAUAAAUCGCUGCAUGCAUAAGAAGAAAUAUCUAAGAAAAACAUUUUUUAUAUCACUAUUGUAAGACCAUUUCAAAUACAGUACAAUUCCGAACAAAAUAAGAUUUUCCAAGUUCAACUUUAAUAAUUCUGAUCGUAUUGCGUGAUCACAACAAUCGCUUGCUCUUAGUUAGUCUCACUGUUUUGUCGAAGCUCUUUCCUUUGAUCAGAAAACUACCUUACCUAUCGAUAUUUCCUUCUAUCAUUUACGGAAUUCUAAUCAUUAUUCGCAAUCCGUAGUCGAUGCAUUAUAGUUUGAUGCACGAACGGAACCUUUAAUGUAUAUAAAAGUAUUAUUUUAACUUGUUCCUUUCAAGUGUGGUUUUUAAGGUAUAAUGCGUAUAGCAGUCAUUAGCCUCAUUCGAGUCGUUGGCCGUUGUUACGAUCUCGCAGAUUUGCAAAUGAAAUUUAAUUUAAUUAAGCUAAUUAAGUAGAUGUAUUUUUCUAUCAAACUCAAGAUAACGGUACUACGGGAUAGCGAUCUUUUUCCCUUUGCGAGUUGGCCGGUAGUUACGGUUUUCCGAAGCCACGACUGUACGUAACGUAAUAUCUUACACGUUGGGUGUUCCCGCAGUGUCCUGAUAAAAAUAUAACGACGUGAUAAUUAUACUACACACAAUAUGCGUAGUAGUAUGAAUCGUGUAUCUGUUUCGGCUUGAUUUUUAAUGAGGACAAAAUUAAAAGACGAUUCGCGUGUAAUCAAAGAAAAGAAAAAAAAGGCAUAAUCGCAAUUAUAAUUGGAAAAAUAAUACGAUCUACAUACAGUAAGCCAUUAUACGCAUACAAAAUCACGAUAUCAAGUUUUACCGAGUAUAUCGUUGCCUCAUACUUCAACUCUCAGCUUCGCAUACAUGCUUUUCCAACAGCGCACGCUGUUUAAUUAGGAAUAAUUUUCCCGACGAAAAAGAUGCAUUAACGCGGAAGUUAUGUUAUCCGGAUUCAAGAGGAGAUUACCGCGCAUUUGUAACUUGUGAAGAAAACGUUAUAAGCGACAAUUUUACAUUCUCGAGAAGCGCGAUGAAAAACAGACUCUGACAUCGCGAGCGAGCGCAAGCACGUCGUCCGCUCGAACAGGUCGUCGUGGUCGUAGCGUUGAGAAUGCUUGAAAACCGCGAAUGAUAUUCUUCGGGAUUCCACGUGCGAACGGAACGAAUUGACGCAGAAUGCGAGAGGUGGUUUUUCUUCGUGCGGUCGUGCAGCAUCGGGAUAAAAGGCGUACGAAUGCCACGAACCGUAUUACAGAUUCACCUCGGCGAUCUCGGACUUCGUCCCAUUAUCGGCUCACUAAUAAUAUGCGGGAGACUCUAAAUCACGUCACAAAAGGAUGGAGAUGGCGCGUAGCCGUGAAUGGUGCGGUCCGAAGGACUGGAUUUCAAUUUGUCUUGAUCGCCGCGACGUGAAUAUUAAAAGCCUCUUCACCCGCGCGCGCGUAGCGCCGCGCGCCGCUGCCGAGCUGCCGUGUGUGUGUGUGUGUGCGUGCCACUCACUGUACUCUGAAUAGAUCUCUGAAUCGAACCGCGUAAUACUUGUACGCGUUGCGCCGUGUGUGACGGUGUAAUGCCGGUAAACGUCCGCCCGUUGAAGCUAAUUAUUCUAUCCAUCGCGUCGUCCUCGUGAUUCUGUCGCCGAGGCGUCCCCGUUCGAGGAGCAAAGCCAGCUCGAGUAAAGCUCAUGUGAUAUCGGUAUUGAAUCGUUUACGGAGAGAUAAGACAUCUAUCUAUUUCUUCUAUACAAUAAGCGCGAAAAUUAAAUCACGGAUCGAUGUCCGAUACUCCGGAUAGGCGUGCAAAUCGGGCUCCAUCAUUUUUCAUCACCGAUCCUAUUAAUUACCAGCGAGAGAUAGUUCGAUCACUCAGGUUCGAUCGUUAAGCGAUCGAUUAAAGAGGGAGAGGUCACACUCCACGCUUGUUAAUAGCGUACGGCUCGUAUGCGUGUGGUGUCGAUUAAAGAUACCUUAAUGAUUCGCUCGUAAUACCCAUAUCGCCAUCGCUGCCUCGUGAUCUCUCGUGUGACUUAUCGUUAAUCAUAUUUUCUCCUGUAUAAGCGUACAUAAAUUAUGGAAACAAUAUGAUAUCGCCAUCGCCCCAUCGAAAGAAUCCCGAGAUUUUAUUCAGCAUUGGAUAUUAGAUCGGGAUAAGAUACGCGUCUCCGGUUGGGGAACGCUCGAUUGAAAUUUCAUACAAAUUAUGAGAUUCGAGAUGAGAUUACCUCGAGGGCACGAACAAUCAAAUCAAUGUCAUCUUCAAAUGCCACUUUUUGAUGUCGACGCUUACAUGGAAUUUAAUGACACGUAAUGCGAACAUGAUGGGGAGCGAUAAGAUCGUCAUACGAAGCGAUACGCAUCCAUGUAGGAGGAUCUUAAUUCGGACGGCAAAUUCUUCUUGCAAGUUUCGAUAUCACAUGUGUAUCUUAAUAUCGUUUUAAUCAUCGUACUCACGAACUUCGAGAUCCAGAUCGAUUCCCUCGCCACGAGGCGAGGCACGCAGAUGAAUACGUAAUGCCCUCUCUUGUUUAAACGUGUCCGAGGCUUUUUUAUGGCUAUUAUCGCUUGCCUGCGGCGAUAUUCCGAGGAGAGGAAAAGGGGAAGGAAUUUACAUUGAGAAGUUGAUGAACACGCCAACAAGCAUAAAUGAUUUAAGAAACAAAAUCAAAACCCUGUUGCAAGCACUACAUACCAUACUUGACGUAAUACUUAUACUUGUCGUUUUCUAUUUGGUCUCUUUUUCAACUCUUUUGUAAAAUAUAAAGAGAGCUACAUAAAAAAAUAUAAAUUUCUCUCGAUUAACAAUAAAAAUAUCGAGCAAAACCUCUUAUCCGGUAUAAGCUAUCGGUUAUAUUAUCAUUAUUUACUCUGAACAAACGUUUACUUGUAUGUCAAAGAAUUUGUAAAAAAAUGUGAUAAAGCGCAGAAAAAUAUUAAAAAGUAAAGAAAGAGCGAUUUCUCUCUUUCUCUCUACGAUACUCAUUGUGGCUCGACCACACGACGGCCGUAUAAAUCUACGAGGAAGUUAUUGCUUCUGCAUCCGUUUCCGUCCCACGGUCCCGCAUUUCCCCUUUUCGUCAGCUUCGUUUUCUACUCGCCGUCUGAUACUUAACAGUUUACGACUCACGGCAUCAUCCCCCACUCGCCACUUUUCUGACAAUUUUCUCAAGAGUUUUCCAUCGUUUCUCCUCGAAAGACUCGUGCUUCUUUUCAAGCUUCGAAGCAUUUUCCAUUUUUACUACUUAUUUGAAAACUUUAGAAAUAUUGGAGAAAAUAUAUUUUUCUCCUCUAACACAGUAUCCUUCAAAACUAACUCCCAAUGAUUCGAUGAAAUUAAAAUCAGGCAAUUGGCCAAGAAAAUGUUUUAGUUUUGAAGAACACAGAAUUUUUAAUAAUAAUGCGCGAAGCAAAUUUUUUCUUCCAAUGUCACUUACAUAAUUAAUUGAAAGAUGUGCAUUGAAAGAUUUUGCUAAGAGAAUAAUACAAUUGACUGUUCAAGUAUAACUGUUUCAAUAAGGAUAGAAAUCUUAUUAAUGAAAAGAGUUGUGUAUUUCUUAGAUUAAUUUGGUUUUUCCCUACAUAUUAUUGUAUUGUUUAAAUAACGUUAUCGACAAAGAAGCAUCAUGCUAAGAAUGCAAGAAAUCCCCAAAAAUUUCUAAUUGCGAGCUAACGCGUCUCUGUACGGGAUCUCAUAACAUACAGCAAAAGAAGAUAUUCUCCGAGGAUAAGAGAGCAACGCUUGUUUUAAGUGCACGCGACGUUAUACGCAACUGCACGCGUGAUGUAUAAAGAGGUAAACCGAAGCAGCGUAAGCUGCAAUCGUCACCGUGAGUUUUAUUAGCGGUCAGCGCGCGUUUACUCGAGAUAUGACGAGAAAAUGACAACGACGGUCGGCAUGUGAACAAGAUAUCUCAAAUACAGAAUAGGAAGUUAUAAUUAGCGAGAAAUGCACGAUUCCUCUGUCUAAUUAUUUUCACAUCCGCAACUCUUCCUCGUUCCUGAGUACGCGAGAAAGCCAAGCGGCAUGUGUUCGAGUAAAAUUGCUUCAACGAGUAAAACGGCUCAUACUCGUGAGCAAUUUAUGAUGUAACCAUCAUACAAAGUGUGGCACGUGCUUUUUCAGAGAUAGAUGCGCGAGAAUGACGUACAUACCGCGCAAACAUGAAGAAAAUUAACACAAAUAGAAAGGUUUAGCACGAUCGCACUCGACGCGAGAAAUGAUUAUUUCUGUGAAAACUAGUUAUCCGAUACGAUUUAAUCGCCAAAGCACGAGCGUUUACUGAUUAUCAAUCGAUGAGUCAAGAAAGCGAUGUUAAUUGCGACAUUUCCGUCGCAAAGAAUAAAUUUAUUAGUUCAUUAUUUUAUAAUGAAAAAUAAAAUAUCUAUGUAUAAAGGAUAUUCACAAAACCAACAAGCUUUGCUAGCACAUUUGGAUUCGUAAUUAUUCUUAACACAAAGUUCAUAUAAAAUUGCCAUAUUAAAGCAUGAGUUGAAUAAGUUAGUACAGUGGAAUUAAAACACUGUCCUCGAGCUAACAACUACCUGCGACUUUAUGUUUCGUAAGUUUCAUUCCAAAAGAAAAACAAGUAUAUAUAGCAGUAUUGAAUUUUACAAAGUUCAGCCAACAAAGCGCUCGUAUUUUAAAAUGUAGAGCCCAAUGAAAUCGCAAGUCAUUCACUAUAACAAUCGUGACAAAGCGUGUCAGCGUAGAGUAGAAGUAUGAACCAAAUUCUUAGAAUUUGCGUCAUUUAACCCUCAGGAGGCGCACUAUAUCUGCUUCGAGAUUCUGGCCCACCGACAUUUUUCAACUGCAUAUAAAACUUACGAUCACUAAGGGAUCUUGUAAGAUAUAUAUAACACAUAUCUUUCUCAUAAUCAAAUGGCAGCGGGUGGCUGCAAUACCGCAAAAACAGACUAAAAGGAGUGCUUUAUCCCCGCCUCUCCUGUUUUUAUUAUGCAUUGCUAAAAAUAGUGACAUCGCGGCGCGCAACAAUACAGCACGCGUUGCGCGGAUGCAUCUGGACCGCAGCAGUCCUUCGUCACCGACUUCUCCUAAAAUUAUCUCAAACGCGGCAUCGGCCUCCUAUUUUACUAGUCGUUUCGACGCCUCGAGAAGGAGUCGCGUGCCAUUAGUCGGUCUCUCUUUCUCUCUAUUCAUCUUACACGUAAUACCCUAACUUUCCUAUCGCGCGCCUUCCCGUUUGACUCUAACGUUUCCGAAACGAAAUUAUGCCCUUCGCAGCUGCGAGCAGUCGGGUCGUAACUCUUCGUUACGAAAGGACAAGGGUUUAAAACAUAGUUUUAUGCCUACAGGAUGUCAUACAACCUCAACAACCAUAUUAACGAUGGAGACUUGGAUUAAAAUUGUAUUGUCCAUUUGAUCGUAAGCGUAAAAGUUCCGUUUGAGGGCCAUAAAUGAUUUUAAAAUUAGCGAGAAGAUGAGCGUUCCUCAGUCCGUUUGACGUACGAUGCGCUAUACGCACCCCCCCCCCCUCCCCCCAGUAACGUCGGCAGUUUCAUUUAGAGUCUAGACAUCUCCCCGGGGUCGGCUUCCCGGUAUCUCUGAUAUUUAUAAUCGCGAAACCUCGUCCUCGCAUUAAAAGGCCCGAUUCUCGGAUUAGCGGAAGCUAGCGCGGUCUUAGAUCUCACACGGGAGACGACCGACACGUGUCGUGUCAAAAGCCGGUCUCUGCCUCCCCUCCCUCUCCCUUCACCCUUCCCACCAUCCCUUUCCGUAUCGUCGUCCUUCCAUCAGUGUACUCUCUCGAUGUCCGCUUCCCAUUUUCCAUUCUCCGUUUUCAAACGUUCCUUAAAUAUACACGUCGCUCGUAUCCCCGGAGCGUCUUAAUUUCCCACAUCGUUCGAUGUACCGUGACAUUCGCGACACGCCUACCGUACGGAAAGAUGAGUUGCUUUGAGCAAUAAUUUUGUAAGGUUAGCGAUUUCUAGUAACCCUCCAUUUGUUAUCUAAAUCUUUUUUAAUACAGCGAAAUUUUACUCUCAAAUUUCUCUGAAAAUUUUAAAUUUUUACGUGAUAAAGUUUUAACAUUUAAAUUUAAAAAAAUUAUUUUGUAAUACAAUAGAAAUGUGUUGAAAAAUAAUUCUCGAUUUUUCUAUAUUUUUUUGAAAGCCUAGAACAAUAAAAAAAAUUUGGGAUAAGAAGAUUGCAGACGAAGGAUUAAAUUAUUGUAAUUAUUUCCUCCACAGCUUAUUCAUCUAUUUAUACCUUAUACAAUUUAAUGCAAUUUAAUAAAUCAGUAAUUUACCGUGAAUAUUAACGUGAGUCUAUUCCAAUUUUCAUGAUUGGCAAAUUCGCUAAUACACAAUAAAUUAACGUUGAAAUUUCAAUGCUAUGUGGGAAAUAAUUUACGACGUAAUCUCUAAUUGCCGUAGCGCGUCGUCACACGAGUCGCUGUCUGUUCGCAGUCUAAUUAAAUCAUAGCGUCAGAGAUCGCAUUGCGUCGCGCUACCUAGUGUGUUGCGCGGUCUAGACGAGGAGCUUUCUCUCUCGUUUGCUCGUGCGAAUCUUUCAGAUUGGCGAAACGCAGCACGGCGGACGUGUGCAUCGUCGUGCGGUUGCACGCGUGGUCGAAUAACGCGUCCGGGCGUCUCUGAAAUAGCGCAAUUAGGCAAAUGACGCGUCCCACACGUGCCUGCGCUCUUUAUCUCCUUACCCGCCACCACUCCUUUCGUUUACUUUAUCAUUUCGCUAAGAUAUAUCGCGUUGUUAAGAAAAAUAAAGAAAGCAAAGAAAAAAAAAACAAUUUCCGACGUUGGUGCAAAAAAUUCAUCGAUCAAACAAUUUGUAGUAAUGUUUCAACAUCGGACAAUGACGAAUUUUUCUGUAAUCUGAUAUUUUUCAUAAAUGCAUCUAUAUAUACAUUCGCACCUGCUUUCCCGUACGCGAAUUAACUGCAGAACGAUAAAUAAUUUUUACAAUACCGGAAAUAUCAAGACACACUGUUCCUACGUAAUUAAGGAGUUAUCAUGUCCUCGAUCAGCUUUUCCGUUUACCGUAUCAAACAUCGCAUCGUUCUCCCGCGACAGAUACUCGGUCGACAAUCUUUUCGAUAAUUCUAAUAAUUUCCACCCUUCGUGCACGAGAUCGGCAAAGGGCCACGCGUUUCCGCGUCGGUACGCAUUGAUAAACGUAUCCGCAAAGCGGCAGAUGCAUUUCACUGGGGCAAUCCGUGCGCGACACAAAAGUCGAACGCACGAGUUCACGAGCGAAGCGGAAGCGAGACAGCUAUAUCGAGAUGCACAUGCACAUGCAGGUAAUGUCGUCGAUACGCAAACGGUAGUACAGCCGCGAGUGUUACGCGGUACCGACGCAAUGAGGGCAAGUGCGUGCAAGUGCCGGGGCAACACCGUUAUUGCGCUCCGGCACAACACGGUGCAACCGUCAUUUUUUGGCAGCUGCCCAAACUUUCGCACGCGCCUCUCUCACCAUUAUAUAUAAUUUUCGCGGAGAUAGGCGCGAAAAGGACAAGGGUCGCUCGCGCUUUCGCUGGCCAACACGGCAUUUACGUUGCGCUCGGCCCAUUUAACGAAGACGCGUCUCGACCCGUCCGUUGCAAUGUCUUUCCACAGUUCCAGGUGGAUGCUGACUAUUCACCGACGCGGCACGAGUUUCACCCUCACGAGCUUCCCCGUUAUUCCUGGUGGUUCCUUGCGAAGUCUCUCCGUUAGUCCUGCAGCGAGGUGGCGAGGAUUCGGACUGCGAAGUAGAAGUUCUAGAGGAAGAAGCAGGUCAACGAACGCUCGAGCCUGCCGAGCAAGUUUUACGACGAAUUAUGCGGCUGCUUAUCUUCACGGAAAUUCAACAGGGUGUACGAUAUGGAACUAUUGACAAUAAGACUAUUUUUCGAAAUCAGUCGAUGUUUUCUUGUUGAGAGACGCCAAUAGCUUGUAUACUCGAUUCAAAUAAAGAGCAUUUAAAUAA
rnacentral:lncRNA from 1 species